UUAUGAAAGUCUCCUGAAGAAGUUCCUGCUUCACGAGAAAAUGCCAUAGCCUUUUUGCUGGAAGAGCUGAAUAAUCCUUUGAUCUGGAUGAUGCAGGAGGAGAAAUAAAAAGGAAACAGCUUCUAUUUAAUUACAGGCAAGUAAAUGGAGAAAUGUUUGUUACAGCAAUCUAAACUUGUUGCACCUACAGUCUCACUGCUAUGGAUGCCCCUGUCCAUUGAAGUAUAAAUAUUCAACCUAAACUGUGGAGUGUGCAGAGCACCUGUAUUUUCUUUAAUCCUGAAGAAAAACAUAGGCACGAAGAAUUUCCAUCUUGGAUGCACAAAGUAUUCUUCAAAUGUAGGACUGGAAGAAAGCUUCUGUUUGUACCUGUAACUGUGGCUGUCACACAGUGCUUGAUAAAUGGAUGCAGAAAGUGAAGCUGCUAACGAAUGAAGAGUGUACACCUAAAAUAAAAAAAGCUGUUUUUCAGGAGUCUCCCCGUAACAAGACUGGUACUAGCUUACAAUGCAGCAGAAACACUCAAUUUCUUAAAUAGAGGGAUAAAUGCAAGGAUUUCUUGGAAAGACUGAUGGAGGCCAAAGCAUGUUGAAAACGGUACUGCCAACUGUUAAAAACAUAAAUAUUUUUUAACUAACUCUUUGCUCAUUUCCAUCUAUUCCUACGGUCUCUCUAUUUAAUAUGAUGCUGUAUCUCAGGUUAAAGAUAUAAAUUAUCUAAAUAGUUGUUUUACAGUUAGGAAGUGUCAGUUCUUUCUGAGUUCUCUUUUAAAGGAAAAUGCAUACAGAAUAAGAGUUUUUAGAAUAAGGAAGACGCUUAAUGUGGCAUAGUUCAGGAUGAAAAAGGAGUCAACUAAUGUCAAAAAGUAAAUGAGCUUGGGAUACAGUUUUACAAAUUGUUAACUAACUUCCAGCGGGACAAUCCACUUAGUUUCAUAGUUUUGAUGUACUUUCAUUUACUCAAUAGAAGUUUAAAUGAAAUUUGAUGAAUAUGAAUACUGACAAAAAUGUAGAAAACAAUGAUUUAGCGUUUUACUAAUUAACUGUUAUAUAGUCUCAGGCACUUUGUUUCCUCCAUCCCCUCUAUUUUAUGAACAAAAUUUAUUUACCCUAGGGUGUGGAGCCAGAUAAAGUAAUUAAUCACAUUUCCAUGGAAAUCAGUACAAGUGGGAAAACUUGCACUGGAGUAAGAUUUAUAACUACUGUAUUAACAGAAGGUUAGAACAUACCUCACGGCUUCCCAUCUCUACUUUCAUUAAUCUUCCCACCAGAUUUGACCAAGACGAUGACAGUUGACAUAUAUGAUCACGAGGUUUUAAGAGUAACAAUUCAGUGCUUUAGUGAACAUCUACAUUUGGAACAGUUUCUCGAGAAUGACCGAAUCAUUUUGGAUGAAAGUGAACUAACCAGAUUCCAAAAGAUGUCAGGAAUCAAGUGCUUGGUUGACUACCAUUUUCAGUGGUAGAUUUUCAAUUCUCUAGACUUUAUAGAGAAGAUCAAUAUUGUGAAAAGGAUUUCUGUGUAAAGUGUUGAAAAGUUAACCAUAAUUUUUGUGUGCUCUCACCAUUUCAUAUAUAUUCAUUUAGCAUUUCCUAAAACCUGUUUU